AAGUGGUGGUGGUCAUCCUUGAUAAGGAACACCAUCCAGUAGAAAGAUUCGUCUUUGAGAUCAUGCAGCCACCAUUGCUGGCCAUCAGCUCCGAUUCCCUGCUCAACCACGUGGAGCAGCUUCUGCGGGCUUUUAUUCUGAAGAUCAGCGUCUGCGAUGCUGUGCUGAACAACAACCCUCCAGGCUGUACUUUCACCAUCCUGGUGCACACCCGUGAAGCUGCCACACGCAACAUGGAGAAGAUCCAAGUGA